UACGAACUGUGCGAACGUUAUUCGGAAUCACUAGGCUUACAGGGUGCGUAGGCGGCUCAACAAGUCAGGUGUGAAAGCCCCCGGCUCAACCGGGGAACUGCGCUUGAAACUGUUAGGCUCGAGUCAGCUAGAGGUACACGGAACUUCCAGUGGAGCGGUGAAAUGUGUUGAUAUUGGAAGGAACACCGGAGGCGAAAGCGGUGUACUGGGGCUGGUCUGACGCUGAGGCACGAAAGCCAGGGGAGCGAACGGG
rnacentral:rRNA from 1 species